UUGUAUAAUGGGUCAGCGACUUAUAUUCUGUAGCAAGGUUAACCGUAUAGGGGAGCCGGAGGGAAACCGAGUCUUAAUUGGGCGUUAAGUUGCAGGGUAUAGACCCGAAACCCGGUGAUCUAGCCAUGGGCAGGUUGAAGGUUGGGUAACACUAACUGGAGGACCGAACCGACUAAUGUUGAAAAAUUAGCGGAUGACCUGUGGCUGGGGGUGAAAGGCCAAUCAAACCGGGAGAUAGCUGGUUCUCCCCGAAAGCUAUUUAGGUAGCGCCUCGUGAAUUCAUCUCCGGGGGUAGAGCACUGUUUCGGCUAGGGGGCCAUCCCGGCUUACCAACCCGAUGCAAACUGCGAAUACCGGAGAAUGUUAUCACGGGAGACACACGGCGGGUGCUAACGUCCGUCGUGAAGAGGGAAACAACCCAGACCGCCAGCUAAGGUCCCAAAGUCAUGGUUAAGUGGGAAACGAUGUGGGAAGGCCCAGACAGCCAGGAUGUUGGCUUAGAAGCAGCCAUCAUUUAAAGAAAGCGUAAUAGCUCACUGGUCGAGUCGGCCUGCGCGGAAGAUGUAACGGGGCUAAACCAUGCACCGAAGCUGCGGCAGCGACACUGUGUGUUGUUGGGUAGGGGAGCGUUCUGUAAGCCUGUGAAGGUGUGUCGUGAGGCAUGCUGGAGGUAUCAGAAGUGCGAAUGCUGACAUAAGUAACGAUAAAGCGGGUGAAAAGCCCGCUCGCCGGAAGACCAAGGGUUCCUGUCCAACGUUAAUCGGGGCAGGGUGAGUCGACCCCUAAGGCGAGGCCGAAAGGCGUAGUCGAUGGGAAACGGGUUAAUAUUCCCGUACUUGGUGUUACUGCGAAGGGGGGACGGAGAAGGCUAUGUUGGCCGGGCGACGGUUGUCCCGGUUUAAGCGUGUAGGUGUGUGUUCCAGGUAAAUCCGGUU
rnacentral:rRNA from 1 species